ensembl:snoRNA small nucleolar RNA SNORD60
AGCCAGUGAUGACAAACAUAAUUUUUCUGACACCUCGUAUGAGAGCUGCACCGUGGCUCCUGAUUCUAGCUCUAAUCUGAGGCUC